rnacentral:misc_RNA from 1 species
CCGAGUUUACAACUCCCAAACCCAAUGUGAACGUUACCAAACUGUUGCCUCGGCGGGAUCUCUGCCCCGGGUGCGUCGCAGCCUCGGACCAAGGCGCCCGCCGGAGGACCAACCAAACUCUUAUUGUAUACCCCCUCGCGGGUUUUUUUGUAUAAUCUGAGCCUUCUCGGCGCCUCUCGUAGGCGUUUCGAAAAUGAAUCA